CCCCUUCUCCAAUAGCCUUAGCUCUAGAAAUCACAUAAAAGUUUUCACCUUCAAGAACCUCUACUCCUCAACAUAACACAUUACUAUGCUUCCACAACCACCAUCAUACUAACAUAUGGAGGGUUUUUAGGGACCCGAGCACAAACAUCAUAAAUGGGAGUAACACUGUUAGAUUAUAACAUAUACUUAUUGCACUGCUCAAGAUUGGUUAUGAGGUGAAGAUAUUGUCACACCCCUU
rnacentral:lncRNA from 1 species